GACGAACGCUGGCGGCGGGCUUAACACAUGCAAGUCGAACGGAAAGGCCCUGCUUUUGUGGGGUGCUCGAGUGGCGAACGGGUGAGUAACACGUGAGUAACCUGCCCUUGACUUUGGGAUAACUUCAGGAAACUGGGGCUAAUACCGGAUAGGAGCUCCUGCUGCAUGGUGGGGGUUGGAAAGUUUCGGCGGUUGGGGAUGGACUCGCGGCUUAUCAGCUUGUUGGUGGGGUAGUGGCUUACCAAGGCUUUGACGGGUAGCCGGCCUGAGAGGGUGACCGGCCACAUUGGGACUGAGAUACGGCACAGACUCCUCCGGGAGGCAGCAGUGGGGAAUAUUGCACAAUGGGCGGAAGCCUGAUGCAGCAACGCCGCGUGCGGGAUGACGGCCUUCGGGUUGUAAACCGCUUUCGCCUGUGACGAAGCGUGAGUGACGGUAAUGGGUAAAGAAGCACCAGCUAACUACGUG
rnacentral:rRNA from 1 species